rnacentral:rRNA from 1 species
CCUACGGGUGGCAGCAGUAGGGAAUCUUCGGCAAUGGACGGAAGUCUGACCGAGCAACGCCGCGUGAGUGAAGAAGGUUUUCGGAUCGUAAAGCUCUGUUGUAAGAGAAGAACGAGUGUGAGAGUGGAAAGUUCACACUGUGACGGUAUCUUACCAGAAAGGGACGGCUAACUACGUGCCAGCAGCCGCGGUAAUACGUAGGUCCCGAGCGUUGUCCGGAUUUAUUGGGCGUAAAGCGAGCGCAGGCGGGUAGAUAAGUCUGAAGUUAAAGGCUGUGGCUUAACCAUAGUACGCUUUGGAAACUGUUUAACUUGAGUGCAAGAGGGGAGAGUGGAAUUCCAUGUGUAGCGGUGAAAUGCGUAGAUAUAUGGAGGAACACCGGUGGCGAAAGCGGCUCUCUGGCUUGUAACUGACGCUGAGGCUCGAAAGCGUGGGGAGCAAACAGGAUUAGAUACCCGUGUAGUC